CCAUUUCCCACAGACAGGCGGCUUCCGGCGUCUCAGUUGAUACGUCCGUGGAAUGGCAUAAAACAUCCUUGGGGGGGGUCACAGACGCUCUUGCAGAGGACCUGGAUUUGAUUUCCAGCACCCACAUCUGGAGGCUCACAGCUGUCUGUAACUCCAGCUUCAGGGAAUCCAGAGCCCUCUUCUGGACUCAGGAACUGUGAGACACGGCUGUCUGUGGCUCGCGUGGCUGUUCGCUCCUGGAGCAGCAGAACCAGUCAGAGCGGUCAUGUGUCCA